rnacentral:rRNA from 1 species
UACGUGAGGGUGCGAGCGUUGUCCGGAAUCACUGGGCGUAAAGGGCGCGUAGGUGGCGGCCCAAGUCCGUGGUGAAAGCUCGCCGCUUAACGGCGAGUCGGCCACGGAGACUGGGUGGCUCGAGCACUGUAGGGGCAGAUGGAAUUCCGGGUGUAGCGGUGGAAUGCGUAGAGAUCCGGAAGAACACCAGUGGCGAAGGCGGUCUGCUGGGCAGUUGCUGACACUGAGGCGCGACAGCGUGGGGAGCAAACAGG